GGAAGAGUCAAUGCUUAGAGGAGAUGCCCCCAAGAAACAUCAAGGCAGUAUGAAACUCUUGCAAUGAGAAGCUGGGGGCAAAUGUAGGCAACUGAGUUCAAAAAUUAUUAUCAAUAGCACACAAGACAGACAGCAAUUAAGGAAAGGAUCAGGAGUUGCAGUGACCUAUAUAAAACAACCUUCUGGGCAAAGUGGACAAACAUAUGUAGCAUGGGCAAUAUUGUUCUAUGGAAGAAAAGAGGGAAAGGAACAGCCAAGUAUCUGCCUGGAGACCAACGCCUGUGUAUGAGCACCUGCUUCUAGGUGAAGUCUGGAGCCCUGCAGUCACCCAUCCCAGAAGAUCCACAGGAGUUCAUUGCUUUCUGUAUGCCUUCAUUGCUCCCUAGUGAAAAUCAGGGCACAAAGAUGUGGUAGGCAGAUGGUGCAUAUCCAGGCUGCUGAGUGCUCCAUAUCCACAAACCCAUUGGUUUUAUUUAGAAAGUAACACAUUCCCCACAUCCUGCUGGCAAGCUAUGCUACAGUGUUCUUUCUCUGCAUAAUUGACCACCACCUCUGCUAAGAAUUUCCUGAAGCAGGACACUGUUACAGAGCCAGCUAGACCUACCUUCUUCUGCAUGUGAAACAUAGGAAAGCACACAGAUAGAGCUUAAAUAAAAACCAAGAAAAAACCAAACCCAAGAAGAAUAAAAAAAAUCUCCUCUCCCACCCAAUAAAAGAGAAAAAGGCUUUAAAUUCAUGUGGUAUUCACAUACUCAUAAGUAAAUGAGUAAGGGAGUAAUAUAUAUCUUUCAACCAAAAUUAAAGACUUUUCCUCUACAACUUCC